GCAAACUUGGUCAUUUAGAGGAAGUAAAAGUCGUAACAAGGUUUCCGUAGGUGAACCUGCGGAAGGAUCAUUAGCUUAUGAUGCUGAAAUAAUGUGUGCAGUGCUGUGUUAGUGUAGUGGUGGUGUGUUGGUGGUCGACGCGCGCACACUGUGUGCGACGGUGCCGCUACCGCUGCUAUAUUAUGCGCACGCACACUUUUUCAACAACACAACACCCUUGUGAACCUGGAUACAUUAUAUAACCAUACGUUCUAGUGGGAGCCCUGGUGGUGGUGGUAGUGAUGAUAAUAAUUAUUAUUAACACACUGCUGCAGCUGGGGCAACCGCUAUUACUAUCAAACCUUUGUACAUUGUGCAAACAUUAAUAGUUAUCAUUAUUAUUAAUAUAUCACACAACUUUUAACAAUGGAUCUCUUGGCUCCUGCAUCGAUGAAGAACGCAGC
rnacentral:misc_RNA from 1 species